GCGGGAGUGGUGGAAUUGGUAGACACGCUGGAUUUAGGUUCCAGUGCCGAAAGGCGUGAGAGUUCGAGUCUCUCCUUCCGCA
rnacentral:tRNA from 2 species